UCCCUCCGGGGGGCAGCAGUCGAGAAUCAUUCACGAUGGGGGAAACCCUGAUGGUGCGACGCCGCGUGGGGGCCUGCCGGUCUUCGGCUUGUCCCCCCCUUUCCUUUGGGCGCCCCUUCCCCCGCUCGUCCCCCACGCGGAAGAGACGGCUAACUCUGUGCCCGCCGCCGCGGUCCUCCCGCGGUCUCCCGCGUUGUUCGGCCUCCCUGGGCGUCCCGCGUGCGUCGGCUGUUUCGUCCGUCGUGUGUGCCCGGCGCGGGCUCCCCCCGCGGCCGGCCCC
rnacentral:rRNA from 1 species